GGAAACACCAGCCCUGCAGCUUGCGCGCCCACUACGCCUGCCACUACAGGGGACGUGAGAUCAACAAUAGGAUCUGUCCAAAAAGCUUUCCAAUGUUCCAUAAGAGCCGCUGCUUCCGACUGGUCAACGAAACCAUGACAUUUGUCCAGGCGGAGGUGGAGUGCGCCCGCUCCACGGACGGCAAAAGCCGGCUGGUGCGGCCCCAUGUCCGACUCAGCAUGCUGUGGUACCUGGCCAACAACGUGACCAAGGGCGCCUGGGUUGGAGCC